UUAAGCACCUAAUAGUUGCCAGACACUGUGCUAAGAGCUUCUUAUAGUCUAUUUCUAAUUUUCACAAGAUCCUUCUGAGGUAGGUAAUAUUUUCUGCCUUCCCUACAUGAAGAAUCAAAGGCUGAGAGUGUAGGUAACUUAGACAAAGCCACAGAUCUGGCAGGUGACAAAGGCAGGAUUCAGGUGCAACUAAGUCCUUUCUGCUGUGCAGGGUUACAGAGCACACUAACAGUUAUCUUUGGCUAUAGCUGCUUCACAUCAGAACUUCCAGAACCAGACACUAAAAGAAAAGUAGGUACUUUUUCUCCUGAAUCACCUAUGAGAGCAGGAGAUAGUCUUUGGAUCAAGUCAGCUAAACUUGUAUUAAUAUGUAUAGGAAACCAAAAAGCGGGAGGCUGGAAGAAUUGCCAGAGCAGGUGGUUCAGGGAAUGACUCUGGAUUAUAAGGUUCUAACUGCUCUGCCCAUUUUAACCAGUGGUUUGGGUCAGGGUGGAGACUUAGAGAGACUAGCUGUCAAUGCAGAUUCUCAUAUUAUUCACCAGGAGGUAUUAAAGGCAGCCGUUAAAUUUGAAGGGUUAUCGGAGAGAGAUAAUAAAUUCACUCAUUGUUCAUUAGCAUGCAGGGUGGAAUAUUAAAGACACAAGACCUGAAACGUCCAAGAUUUUAUGAUGGGGAGAGCCUAGGUGGGACCUCAGUAGGCAAUGGAGGCACACAGUGAGGACAUGAAGGUUCUGAAGAGAAAUGAGGGUGUUAAAUUUGAUUCAGAGAAAGGGCCCAAGUUACUCUAUAGUUUAAGUUUUGGAGGCUAGUUGGGAAUUUUAUUGGUUGAUUUUUAUAUUCAGGAUCAUCCCCAGGGAUCUAUUUGGAAAUAAACCUCGGGAACACAUCGCAAUAGAAAUUGAUCCAGACCAUCCAAAAACCACUGAUUAGGAUCUAGCGUUACUCUCCACCCAUCCUUCUAAACGAUGCUUCAGACGGUUCCAGGCUCUCAGCACCCACCUCGACCAUGACUUUGAUUCCACUUUACAGUGUCCAACUUCACCAGCAACUCCAGAGCGCUGCCUGCACUCACUGAGUUACCAGCCUGGGAUCUAGAGAUGUGAGAACAUCUAUCCCAUGUGUGACACUGAUUACUGGGAUGGAGGUGACCAACUUGACUGGACAGUAGACAGCCGCUCCACCCUCCCUGUGCCACUCAGACCCUUCCUGAAGUUCCAGAAGCUUGGCGCCUUUGAAAAGAAUACCUUCUCAGAGACAUGAUCGUUUCUGGGUCAAAGGUAAUAUUCUUUGGCUUAUUAAAUAUGUUUACAUAGUCUAGUCCUGCAUUGUCUAAUAUGGCAGCU